rnacentral:rRNA from 1 species
GUCCUUUAGAUUAUAAUUUAAGGUCUAACCUGCCCACUGAAUUUUGAAUGGCCGCAGUAUUUUGACUGUGCAAAGGUAGCAUAAUAAUUAGUUUCUUAAUUAGAAGCUUGUAUGAAUGGUUGAACGAGAAAUUAACUGUCUCAAUUUAUAAGUUAAAAUUUUAUUUUUAAGUCAAAAAGCUUAAAUGAUUUUAAAAGACGAGAAGACCCUAUAGAGUUUAAUAUUUUAAUUUAUUAUAUUUUUUAGAAUUUUUAUUAUAUAUUAAAAUAUUUUGUUGGGGUGAUAUAUAAAUUUAAUAAACUUUAUAUUUUAUUUAACAUUAAUUUAUGAUUUUAUGAUCCAUUAUUUAUGAUUAAAAGAAAAAAUUACCUUAGGGAUAACAGCGUUAUUUUUUUUUAGAGUUCAAAUCGAAAAAAAAGUUUGCGACCUCGAUGUUGGAUUAAAAUUUAUUUAUGGUGUAGAAGCUAUAAAAUUAGGUCUGUUCGACCUUUAAAAUUUUACAUGAUCUGAGUUUAAACCGGUGUGAGCCAGGUUGGUUUCUAUCUUUAAAUAGUUUAAAUAUUUUAGUACGAAAGGACCAAUUAUUUUUAAAAUUUAAUUAUUAUUGAAUA